AGACUAUGAGAGUACAAAGAGGAAAAUCGAUCGCUAUCCAAAGGGGUUAUUCGUGCAACGAAAAUCUGCAUUGCUAUUGUCAAUCAAAUCAUCGAGGUAUGGACAUUGCUCUGGAUAUGAUCGAUUUUGGGUUUCUUUUCAUUUGUCCUGAUCGUGUUUUAUCUUUGUUUAUACAAUCUGUGAUGAAACAAGGCAAACACCUCAUCGCAAUGAAUGGGAAAUUGAAGCUGAUUAUAAAUAAGCUUUGAUUAACAAGUUAUUCUCAAUUUUUACAGGCAAUAGGAUCUGAAAGUCACUUUGUGGGGAACACUUGCAGCUGAAUUUGAUGUUGAGACAAUAAGAAUUUGCCACCUCCAGUUGUGAUGGCCAUCACAAGCACAAAAUUCCAACACUUUGGUAUGAGAGUUAUUUUGUCCUGCUACAUGUUGUUACUGUAUAAUGGCUAUUAACUGUUUUUGGUGCUUUCAAUAUUUCGUUACUGGGAUGAGUACAUGUAUGUUCAUCAAUCCGCCCAUUCCUGAAAUAUGUGUAUAUAGGGCAAGGUAAGCUCUUAUAGGUUGAACAACAUAAGGUUUAUUGUUUCAACUUAUGAAAGCAAUUGAAGCUAUUUUGUUUGCUUUUGCAGCGUCAACAAACCUUUUCUCACCCUGAAGGUCCUAGAGGGGGGUGAAUAGGCCUUUAUUACUUUUUCGUCCAAUUCCGUUCACAAGGAUAGCAAACAUUUAGCUAUCCUGAUAACAGGGAGACGUAGUAAUAAAUAAAAGAGCAAGUACUAGAAAGUAAAAGAAAUAACACCAGUACGUUUUUUAUUUGCAGAAACCCUGCAUCAGGGAGAAAAACUGCGUGCCCCUAACUCUUGAGGGACAAACCUUUCCACUAUGUAAAACUCACUUCUUACAAGAUUAUAGUCUAGGGAUACAACGACGAUUUGCAAUCCUGCCUAGUCUACCCACUAGUCUAGAUCUAUCUCUCCUGUCUCUGAGUGACUCACCUCACUCCUCACAAGAUUAUAGUCUAGGGAUACAACAACGACUUGCUAUCCUGCCUAGUCUACCUACUAGUCUAGACCUACCUCUCUUGUCUCUCAAGUGUUUACAUAUGAAGGUAUAAGAAGAAGUUUCAACUCAGAACUCAGCUAACGCCUUUAACUGAUUCUUCUUGAACACUU
rnacentral:lncRNA from 1 species